UACGUAGGGUGCAAGCGUUAAUCGGAAUUACUGGGCGUAAAGCGUGCGCAGGCGGUUUUGUAAGACUGUCGUGAAAUCCCCGGGCUUAACCUGGGAAUGGCGAUGGUGACUGCAAGGCUAGAGUUUGGCAGAGGGGGGUAGAAUUCCACGUGUAGCAGUGAAAUGCGUAGAUAUGUGGAGGAACACCGAUGGCGAAGGCAGCCCCCUGGGUCAAAACUGACGCUCAUGCACGAAAGCUAGGGGAGCAAACAGG
rnacentral:rRNA from 1 species